rnacentral:rRNA from 1 species
UACGGAGGGUGCAAGCGUUAAUCGGAAUUACUGGGCGUAAAGGGUGCGUAGGCGGUUGUUUAAGUCUGUUGUGAAAUCCCCGGGCUCAACCUGGGAAUGGCAAUGGAUACUGGGCAGCUAGAGUGUGUCAGAGGAUGGUGGAAUUCCCGGUGUAGCGGUGAAAUGCGUAGAGAUCGGGAGGAACAUCAGUGGCGAAGGCGGCCAUCUGGCGGCACAUUGACGCUGAGGCGCGAAAGCGUGGGGAGCAAACAGG